rnacentral:rRNA from 1 species
GACGAACGCUGGCGGACGUGCCUAACACAUGCAAGUCCGAGCGGGUUAGAAGCGAGGGUAACUCGGACUUCUACCUAGCGGCGGACGGGUGAGUAACGCGUGGGCAACCUGCCUCAAGGUUUGGGAUAACAGCUCGAAAGGGCUGCUAAUACCGGAUAUGCCUGUGGCCUCGCAUGGGGCGUAUGAGCAAAGGGGAAACCCGCCUUGAGAUGGGCCCGCGUCCCAUCAGCUAGUUGGUGAGGUGAAGGCUCACCAAGGCGACGACGGGUAGCCGGCCUGAGAGGGUGACCGGCCACACUGGGACUGAGACACGGCCCAGACUCCUACGGGGGGCAGCAGUGGGGGAUCUUGCACAAUGGGCGAAAGCCUGAUGCAGCGACGCCGCGUGAGCGAAAAAGGCCUUCGGGUUGUAAAGCUCUGUCUGGAGGGACGAAGAAAAUGACGGUACCUCCGGAGGAAGCCACGGCUAACUACGUG